rnacentral:rRNA from 1 species
GACGAACGCUGGCGGCGUGCUUAACACAUGCAAGUCGAACGGUGAAGCGCCUUCCUUUUUGGUGGGUGUGGAUGAGUGGCGAACGGGUGAGUAACACGUGAGUAACCUGCCCCCUUCUUCUGGAUAACCGCAUGAAAGUGUGGCUAAUACGGGAUAUUCUGGGUCUGUCGCAUGAUGGGUCUGGGAAAGAUAUUGUUUCGGUGGGGGAUGGGCUCGCGGCCUAUCAGCUUGUUGGUGGGGUGAUGGCCUACCAAGGCGGUGACGGGUAGCCGGCCUGAGAGGGUGGACGGUCACACUGGGACUGAGACACGGCGCAGACUCCUACGGGAGGCAGCAGUGGGGAAUAUUGUACAAUGGGCGCAAGCCUGAUGCAGCGACGCCGCGUGAGGGAUGGAGGCCUUCGGGUUGUGAACCUCUUUCGCCAGUGAAGCAGGCCUGCCUCGUUUGUGGGUGGGUUGACGGUAGCUGGAUAAGAAGCGCCGGCUAACUACGUG